rnacentral:rRNA from 1 species
UCCUGGCCGUAAACGAUGGUCACUAGGUGUUGGGGGCAUCGACCCCUUCAGUGCCGCAGCUAACGCAUUAAGUGACCCGCCUGGGAAGUACGUCCGCAAGGAUGAAACUCAAAGCAAUUGACGGGGGCCCGCACAAGCGGUGGAGCAUGUGGCUUAAUUCGACGAUACGCGAAGAACCUUACCAGGGCUUGACAUCGCCUGACAUCCUGUGAAAGCAGGCUUCUUCGGACAGG